UCCCUGGUCAUCAGAUGGUAAAGAAUCUGCCUACAAUGCAGAAGACCCAGGUUCGAUCCCUGGCUUGGAAA
rnacentral:tRNA from 1 species